CCUUGAAGUGUUUUGGACCAUGUUCUUAGUCACUGUGCAUCAUGAAAUGGCAGGAGAUGGUUGCAAACGUUGUUAGAUUCAGGAUGGUAGGGCUGCACGCUUGCUUUGCAGUGUUUUAGAAAGUCCUGUUCACCAGGAAGACGAUGGAGUCCAGCCAGACACCAGCCAGGAGGAAGCAGGAAGGUACCUGGACAAGCUGCUGUGGGAAACCAGGCAGGAAAUAAGCCCACAGCCAGAAAUGUGGCUGCAAGCAGCACAUCCACAGAUCUCCAGCAGCAGAUAAGUUGCUUUGCCCAGGGAAGUUACUUUGCUGCAAUCUAA
rnacentral:lncRNA from 1 species